CCAAUAGCGUAUAUUAAAGUUGUUGCAGUUAAAAAGCUCGUAGUUGAAUUUCGAGAUCAAUUUGUUGGUCGUGCCUCGGUACGUACUGGCAAUUUUGAUUUCUCCCUUCUGAAGAACCAUGAUGUCAUUAAUUUGGUGUCAUGGGGAAUCAGGACCGUUACUUUGAAAAAAUUAGAGUGUUUAAAGCAGGCUCGCGCUUGAAUACAUUAGCAUGGAAUAAUGAAAUAGGACGUUUGAUUCUAUUUUGUUGGUUUCUAGGAUCGACGUAAUGAUUAAUAGGGAUAGUUGGGGGCAUUAGUAUGUAAUUGUCAGAGGUGAAAUUCUUGGAUUUAUUGAAGACUAACUACUGCGAAAGCAUUUGCCAAGGAUGUUUUCAUUAAUCAAGAACGAAAGUUAGGGGAUCGAAGACGAUCAGAUACCGUCGUAGUCUUAACCAUAAACUAUGCCGACUAGGGAUCGGAUGAUGUUAAUUUUUUAAUGACUCAUUCGGCGCCUUACG
rnacentral:rRNA from 1 species